AUUAAUUGAAAAGAGCAUUUGGUGAAUGCCUUGGUAUCAGGAGGCUAUGAAGGAGGCGGAAGACUGCCAAAAGCUUCGGGGAGCUGUCAAUCGAGCUACGAUCCGAAGAUUUCCGAAUGGGGAAACCCGGCUAGGUAAAACCUAGUCAUUCUUAUCUGAACACAUAGGAUAAGGAAGCGAACGGUGCGAACUGAAACAUCUCAGUAGUGCCAGGAAGAGAAAACGAAGUGAUUCCCUCAGUAGUGGUGAGCGAAAGGGGAAGAGCCUAAAAUCAUGCUAUGUAAGCCUAUACGCGUUGUAGCAUGGUGGUUGUGGGAUACGAACGUACGAAAUGUGUAGAUUUCGUGUCGUAAUUUUUAACUUAGUCGAAUUGUUCUGGAAAGGACAGCUAUAAAGAGUGACAGCCUCGUAGACGAAAAGUUAAAAAGAGCGAUUGUUUGUACACCCGAGUAUCACGGAGCACGAGAAAUUCCGUGAGAAUCUGCCCCGACCAUGGGGUAAGGCUAAAUACUACCUGAUGACCGAUAGUGAACUAGUACCGUAAGGGAAAGGUGAAAAGAACCCCGGAAGGGGAGUGAAAUAGAAACUGAAACCAAAUGUUUAUAAUCGGAGGAAGCGAUGUAUACGUACGCGCAACCUCGUACCUUUUGCAUAAUGGACCAACGAGUUACUCCUAUAUUGCAAGGUUAAGCUUAGAAAGAGCGGAGCCGUAGCGAAAGCGAGUCUUAAUAGGGCGCAUAGUAAUAUGGGGUAGACCCGAAACCAAGUGAGCUAACCAUGUCCAGGAUGAAGUCCUCGUAACAGAGGAUGGAGGUCCGAACCGGUGUAGGCUGAAAACUGCUCGGAUGAGGUGUGGUUAGGGGUGAAAGGCCAAUCAAACUUGGAAAUAGCUGGUUCUCCCCGAAAUAUAUUUAGGUAUAGCCUUGGUGAAUUUCUUGUGGUGGUAAAGCACAGUUUAGAUUUUAGGGGCAUAAGCUUACUAAGUCUUUACUAACUCUGAAUGCUACAAGUUUAGAAACCAGGAGUCAGACUGCGGGAGAUAAGUUCCGUAGUCAAGAGGGAAACAGCCCAGACCAUCAGCUAAGGUCCCAAAGUUGAAACUAAGUGGAAAACGAAGUGGGAUUGCCCAGACAGCCAGGAUGUUGGCUUAGAAGCAGCCAUCAUUUAAAGAAAGCGUAAUAGCUCACUGGUCAAGUGUUUUUGCGCUGAAAAACAAACGGGGCUUAAAUGGAUUACCGAAGCUAUGGCAUACUCUUUUAGAGUGUGGGUAGGGGAGCGUUCUUUGAUAGAUACAAGCUUGACCGUAAGGACAGGUGGUGGAUCAAAGAAGUGAGAAUGUUGGUAUAAGUAACGAAAAAACAGGUGAGAUUCCUGUUCGCCGAAAAUCUAAGGUUUCCGUGAGAUCGGUUUAUCCACUCAGGGUUAGUCGGCCCCUAAGUCGAGGCCAAUUGGAGUAGACGAUGGGAAGCAGGUUAAAUAUUCCUGCACCGUUUUUGAGCGUUUGAGCGAUGGAGUGACGCAGUAAGGUAGGUUGACUUGGCAUAUGGUUUACCAAGCUAAGCACUUAGAGGGAUUCUAUUGGCAAAUCCGUAGAAUCAUUACCUUGAAAUGUUAUGGGUACAUCAAUCCUUUAUGGAGAGAUGUGUUCAGCUGAUCCUACACUGACUAGAAAACCUUCUAGCAAGCUUUAAAAACGACCGUACCGUAAACUGACACAGGUAGAUGGGCUGAGAAUGCUCAGGCGUUGAGAUAACUAUCAUUAAGGAACUCGGCAAAUUGACUCCGUAACUUUGGGAAAAGGAGUGCCUACAGUGUUACUAGUAUAUUUUUUAUAUUGGGAAGCACUGGUAGGUUGCAACAAAGCGGCCCAACCGACUGUUUAGCAAAAACACAGGGCUCUGCGAACUCGAAAGAGGAAGUAUAGAGUCUGACGCCUGCCCAGUGCUGGAAGGUUAACAGGAGGGGUUAGUUCUUCGGAACGAAGCUCUGAAUCGAAGCCCCAGUAAACGGCGGCCGUAACUAUAACGGUCCUAAGGUAGCGAAAUACCUUGUCGGGUAAAUUCCGACGCGCAUGAAUGGCGUAACGAGUUGGGCACUGUCUUGAUGAUAGACUCAGUGAGAUUGUAGUACAAGUGAAAAUGCUUGUUACCCGCGAUAGGACGGAAAGACCCCGUGCACCUUUACUAUAGCUUGACAUUGAUUUUUGGGUGUGUUUGUGUAGGAUAGGCGGGAGACUUUGAUAUUACGGCGCUAGCUGUGAUGGAGUCGUCCUUGAAAUACCGCCCUUAUACGUUUGAAUUUCUAACUUUGAAUGUCCGUAAUCCGGACAAAGGACAGUGUCUGGUGGGUAGUUUGACUGGGGUGGUCGCCUCCUAAAUUGUAACGGAGGUGUUCUAAGGUUUUCUCAUGACGAAUAGAAAUCGUCGGAAGAGCGUAAAGGCAGAAGAAAGCUUAACUGCGAGACAUACAGGUCGAGCAGGUACGAAAGUAGGACUUAGUGAUCCGGUGGUUCCGAAUGGAAGGGCCAUCGCUCAACGGAUAAAAGGUACGCCGGGGAUAACAGGCUGAUCUCCUCUGAGAGUCCAUAUCGACGAGGAAGUUUGGCACCUCGAUGUCGGCUCAUCGCAUCCUGGGGGUGAAGAAGCUCCCAAGGGUUUGGCUGUUCGCCAAUUAAAGCGGUACGCGAGCUGGGUUCAGAACGUCGUAAGACAGUUCGGUCCUUAUCCAUCGUGGGCGUAGGGUAUUUGAGAGAGCUUGUUCCUAGUACGAGAGGACCGGAAUGAGUAAGCCUCUGGUGUACCAGUUGUUUACCAAAAGCAACGCUGGGUAGCUAGGCUUAUAAGAGAUAACCGCUGAAAGCAUCUAAGCGGGAAACUCGUCUCAAGAUUAGAUACCCCGUAAUAAAAAAAUGAGUUUGAGAACUUCGGUUCGAUAACAAAUGGAUUUAUUACAUAGUAAGACCCCUUGAAGACUACAAGGUUGAUAGGCUGGGUGUGUAAGUGCAGCAAUGCAUUAAGCUAACCAGUACUAAUAGGUCGAGAGUUUUAAUCAC
rnacentral:rRNA from 1 species